rnacentral:rRNA from 1 species
UACGUAGGUGUCGAGCGUUGUCCGGAUUUACUGGGCGUAAAGAGCGCGCAGGCGGCUGUUCAAGUCCGAUGUGAAAGCUCCCGGCUUAACUGGGAAAUUGCAUCGGAAACUGAUCGGCUGGAAGGUGGGAGAGGGUAGCGGAAUUCCCGGUGUAGUGGUGAAAUGCGUAGAGAUGCGGAGGAACACCGAUGGCGAAGGCAGCCCCCUGGGCUGACACUGACGCUCAGGCACGAAAGCGUGGGGAGCAAACAGG